rnacentral:rRNA from 1 species
AAUCAACGCUGGCGGCGCGCUUAACACAUGCAAGUCGAACGAGAAAGGGGAGCAAUCCCUGAGUACAGUGGCGUACGGGUGAGUAACACGUGGAUGAUCUAUCUCUUAGUGGGGAAUAACCCUGGGAAACCGGGAAUAAUACCGCAUAAGCUCGAGAGAGGAAAGCAGCAAUGCGCUGAGAGAGGAGUCCGCGGCCGAUUAGCUAGUUGGCAGGGUAAAAGCCUACCAAGGCAGAGAUCGGUAGCCGGCCUGAGAGGGCACACGGCCACACUGGCACUGAAACACGGGCCAGACUCCUACGGGAGGCAGCAGGUGGGGAAUCUUGCACAAGUGGGGCAACCCUGAUGCAGCGACGCCGCGUGAGCGAU